AUUACUGUCAAAAGUAACGACAGUGACUACGUAGAGAAUCAGAGGAAGCUGUAACUUAAUUACACUGUAGGAUAGUCCACGUUUUUCUUUUUCUUUUUUAAAUUCAGUGAUAGUCUAUAUUACAAGAUAUUUGAACCUGUUUCCAGUCUGGAUGGAAGAGAGACACACCCUUAGUACUUACUUUUAAUUCCAAACAAUGAAGGUAAAGUUAGUUUGUAGACGGAAGCACCCAUGUUUGAAAGUGAUGUCUAAUUGAGUGGCAGACAAAGUGUCAAAUGCAAGAAAGACUUGACAGAAUAUGCCCAACUCUCACAAGAAUAGAGGGGAAAGGAAAGCAGCUACUUAAGGGGGAGACAGCGAAAACAGGAAGGAGAAAGUACAGUACAGGAGUACAGUAGUCCUGAGAGCUACACAGUAGAGUUGAGAGGGAAGUAGAGCAGCACAGAGAGCGAGAAGGAGCAGUUGUACACAGACAGGUUGCAGAGAGCGAGCAAGUUAGACACAGGUAGAGACAAAACAAGAGGAGUCAGAAGAUUAGAAAGAUUGUUAACGUUAAUGUAAGGCCAAGCAGAGCAACUCAGGAGUGCCCAAGAGAGAAUAGCCAUAUUGAAUCAGUCAUCUUGGAGAGGAGUUUGAGCAGAACAGCUGAGUUGAACCAGCCAGCCAGCGUUCAGAAAGACUAAGAAAAGGGUGAGCUGAUUCAGCAGUCAGUCUCAGAGGCUGAAAACAUUCUAGGCCUAGACUAGAUUGUACAGAGGCCAGGAACCUCCAGGACCUAGCUUAGCCAAAGAAGUAUUACAUCAAGCAAAUGAAAGAUUUUUUUUUACAAGAAUAUUGAAAUAAUUUUUACCAAUUUUUUUAUUCAGUAACCUUGUUAUAUGUAUAAAUGCAUACAUACACAUAUAUAAAUGCCUUUUUUUAUUUUAAAAGAGAGUGACUAAAAAUCUCAAGUGUAUUAAUUUUAUAUGUGGCCAAAAUUUAAGUAAGUUAAUGCAAAAGCAAGAUACUUCAGUAGCUGACUUAGAGAAAUCCAAACUGGCUAACUGUUAUUAUCACUGGCAUGAAAUACAGUUUGGAGGUCACUUAACCCAUAUCAUACGAGUGUUUAACAAUCAGGUGCCAACAGUCCACGUAAAAGGGUUAGUGAUGAAGAAUGUGCUGUGAGGAAACAACUAACCAUUCCUAUUUCCAGGAUGAAUGCCUAUAAUGACGGCAAGCACACAUACUUGUGUGCACCUAGUUUAAAAAGGCUAUUCACACAGGUAACCUCUAUUCAAGGCAAACAAAAACGACUUAAUUGAUGCUUUGAAAAGUGCUUGUUUCAGGGCUAGGAUUAUAUUAUAGCUAAGUAGUAGAAGACUUGCCUAAUAUGCACAAGGUCCUGGGUUGGACCCUUGCAAUUAGGUUGAACCAUAUGGAGUUGCCAGUAUUUGACCAUUUUGAAAUAUGAAAAUAGCAAUUUUACAUGGUUCUACCAUGGGAAUAACUAUACGUUAUUUUCUUAAUAGCACUAAACUGCAAAGUACCUAGGAAUAAAUCUAUCAAGAUAUGAAAGUGCAAGGUUGAACAACAUUGUAAAAGACACUAAGGAAGAUACAGACAGCCGCUCCAUGAUCAUUCUUCAAAAAAUUUAGUGUUGGGCCAAGUGUGAUGCACAUCUUUUAAUCCCAGCACUUGGUAGACAGAGGCUAGUCAAUCUCUCUGUGUUUGAAGCCAGCCUAUUCUACACAGUGAGUUCUGUACACAGUGAGACCGUUU
rnacentral:lncRNA from 1 species